rnacentral:rRNA from 1 species
UACAGAGGCCUCGAGCGUUAGGCGGAAUCACUGGGCUUAAAGCGUGUGUAGGCGGAUUGGUAAGUACCUUGUGAAAUCCCACAGCUUAACUGUGGAACUGCUUGGUAUACUGCCGGUCUUGAGCCAGCUAGGGGCUACCGGAACAAAUGGUGGAGCGGUGAAAUGCGUAGAUAUCAUUUGGAACGCCAAUGGUGAAAACAGGUAGCUGGGGCUGUGCUGACGCUGAGACACGAAAGCCAGGGGAGCAAACGGG